rnacentral:rRNA from 1 species
AACGAACGCUGGCGGCGUGCCUAAGACAUGCAAGUCGUGCGGAAAGGCUCCUUCGGGAGUACUCGAGCGGCGCACGGGUGAGUAACACGUGGGUAAUCUACCUGAGGGUCUGGGAUAACCCCGGGAAACUGGGGCUAAUACCGGGUGAGACCACGGCGCCUUCGGGCGCAGCGGUCAAAGAUGGCCUCUCCAUGGAAGCUAUCGCCCACAGAUGAGCCCGCGUCCCAUUAGCAGUUGGAGGGUAACGGCCACCAAGGCUACGAUGGGUAGCUGGUCUGAGAGGAUGAUCAGCCACACUGGAACUGAGACACGGUCCAGACUCCUACGGGAGGCAGCAGUCGGGAAUUUUGGGCAAUGGGCGAAAGCCUGACCCAGCAACGCCGCGUGA